rnacentral:rRNA from 1 species
UACGUAGGGUGCAAGCGUUGUCCGGAAUUAUUGGGCGUAAAGAGCUCGUAGGCGGUUUGUCGCGUCUGCUGUGAAAACCCGAGGCUCAACCUCGGGCCUGCAGUGGGUACGGGCAGACUAGAGUGCGGUAGGGGAGAAUGGAAUUCCUGGUGUAGCGGUGGAAUGCGCAGAUAUCAGGAGGAACACCGGUGGCGAAGGCGGGUCUCUGGGCCGAUGACUGACGCUGGAGGAGCGAAAGCGUGGGGAGCGAACAGG